UGAUAGACACCAGUGGCGAAGGCGGCUUACUGGACUGUAACUGACGUUGAGGCAAGAAAUGGUGGGUAGCAAACAGGAUUAGAUACCCUGGAGAGGCGCCGUAAACGAUGAAUACUAGGUGUUAGGAGGUUUCCGCCUUUUAGUGCCGCAGCUAACGCAUUAAGAGAAACGCCUGGGGAGUACGACCGCAAGGUUGAAACUCAAAGGAAUUGACGGGGACCCGCACAAGCGGUGGAGCAUGUGGUUUAAUUCGAAGCUACGCGAAGAACCUUACCAGGUCUUGACAUCCUUUGAAGCUUUUAGAGAUAGAACUUUUCCUUUCGGGAAAAAAUUACCAGUGGGUGCAGGGUGUUCUCCGGUCGGUUUGGGGGGUGUUGGGGUUAGGUCCCUUAAUGGUGGACCCCUUUUGGUUGGUUGCCACCUUUCAGUGGGGAACUCUGGAAAAUUGCCGGUGACAAACCGGGGGAGGGGGGAACGACUCAAAUCUUCUCCCCUUAUUAACUUGGCUAUAA
rnacentral:rRNA from 1 species